UACAGAGGGUGCGAGCGUUAAUCGGAAUUACUGGGCGUAAAGCGUGCGUAGACGGUUAUUUAAGUCGGGUGUGAAAGCCCCGGGCUCAACCUGGGAAUUGCAUUCGAGACUGAAUAGCUAGGGUACGGUAGAGGGAAGCGGAAUUUCCGGUGUAGCGGUGAAAUUCGUAGAUAUUCGCAAGAACACCAGUGGCGAAGGCGGCUCACUGGCCCGAUACUGACGCUGAGGUGCGAAAGCGUGGGGAGCAAACAGG
rnacentral:rRNA from 1 species